UACGAACUGUGCAAACGUUAUUCGGAAUCACUGGGCUUAAAGGGUGCGUAGGCGGCCAUGUAAGUAGGGUGUGAAAGCCCCCGGCUUAACCGGGGAAUGGCGCUCUAAACUGCAUGGCUGGAGUGAGAUAGGGGUGUGUGGAACUUCCGGUGGAGCGGUGAAAUGCGUAGGUACAGGAAGGAACACCAGUGGCGAAGGCGACCACCUGGGCUAAUACUGACACUGAGGUGCGAAAGCGUGGGGAGCAAACAGG
rnacentral:rRNA from 1 species